CGUCAGUUUGCGACUGAAAGCGUCUGCUCCACAGCAAAGCUGUUGUGUUCCCCAUUGAUGGGUCCGCAUAAUGCGUGCCCCAAUGCACCUAAUAACUUUAACACCAAUUUACGCCUAAAUGCUUAUUCCAACCGAUUUGGCAACCGUAGGUGACGCGUUUAGAGGGUUUCUUGAGUAAUUCCAUACAAAUGCUGCUUGGGUUUCAUGAGUACAGUCGCCGCACAGUUCAAUGCGGUGUUGUUUGGCGGUAAAUUUGAAAAUUGCUUCUAUCGUUGCGCUAGCAUUCCGAAGGGUAGCAAGAGUGACGGGUGCGGUGCGGGGUUUUGGUUGCUUUUGGUGUGCGUCCAUACGCCUAGCGCUGGCGAUAGGUGUCUACUGUACAAAUAAGGCAUAUUGCAGCUGUUGUGGUGCAAAAUAACGCCUGCAUUGUUGCUUAUCUAGAACGUUUUUCGCCGUUGUGUUUGCGACAGUUGGACAGCCAGCCAGCCAUUCAAACGAAGUUGUUUUUCAACGUGUGAAGGUAUCCGCUUUGUAAAUUAUCUGUAUAUGUAUAUUUUUUGGCGGUCUUUGAAGUGUAGACACCUCACAAACAUACUUCAUAAAUGAACAUACAUAUGUACAUACAUACAUAUAUAUAUUUAACGUUCAUUUGAAUGAGUAAAUAGCCAAAGUAUACUUGAACAAAAUACACAAAUAUAAAUAAUGAACUGAUAACAAGUACAAAUUUUUGUUGAAAAUAAAUUUACAAAAAAAGCAUAGCGUUAUCAAGUAUAGAAAUUUUAAACAGUAUGGGUGUCGUAUGAGUAGCUACUCUACUCUACUCUACUCUAGAGUACAUACAAACACGUACCUACUUAUGCUCGUAUCUGGGUACUCAAAAUGUCCUGUACAGUUUCUUGUUUGAAAUUGUGUCCAGUUUGGUUACAUACACACGUUUAAUUGUUUGUAUAUGUAUUAGUGUAACUACAUACCUACAUAAUUAAAGGUAUGCACCUUCGUUUCGUAGACGAGUCGAUUUUCCCGCCUAUUUCAAAAAUCGUUCUCACUUCUUGUAUGUUUCUGGUAAUUUUCCGAAACAUACAAAAUAAUUUCUUAUAUAUUAUGGAAAUAUUUACAAAAAAAUGUUAUUUUUAUCCAUAAAUACUUUUAGUAUUACUCAUUAAUAUUUAAUUUAAAUAUUUUAUUUUAUUAAAUAGUGCACAAAAACAAAUUCUCACUACAUACUUAGCAUACAGCGCGCAGCUCGCAAGCUUUUUUUCGGUGUAUGUAGUUUUCUACAGCUUUUCUGUACGGCUGGCUGCCAUUUCAGUAGCGCUUAACUAAAUAUUUCUCACAUAAGUAAGUAUGUACAUUACACCUGUUGUAGUCUAGUCUAGAAACGUUCACCUAAAGUAAUUAUUAUUGUCGUUUUAUAUUCAUCUUUGCCAUGCGCUCGUCGUGAUCGUUAUUUGUCGUCUCAACGCUCGAACAUUAAAGACUUUAACGACGAUUCAUAAGCAUCGUGUAAUUUUGUUAUUGUUUUUACAAAUACUCAUGUAUGUAUUUUUUUCUAAAUUAAUUUCUUCAUAACUGAAAGCUUUUUGAUAAGUCAUAAGUUGAAAAAUCUACAUUUGGAGCACAUUAAUGUGUGAGAGGGGGACGGAGUGGUGUAUGCGAACUGCUGGGAAUAACAAUAAAUUGCUCUACAGCUGUAUGUGCGUGUAUUGCUGUUGUUGCAAACACAAACAAUUUUGCAAAUCUGUGAACAGGCACCGGCAAACAACACACACACACACACACCAAUUUAUAUACAUACAUACAUGCAUACAUCCAUGUAUGUGUGCUGUUGUUGGUUGCUUUAGUUGGCAGUUCGGUUUUUCUUCUGCUUUCGGCUGUCGUAAAACAACACAGCAAAAUGGUGUGUAUUCGCAUGUAAACAAGCAUUUGUGUUUGUGUAUUUGUGCCGGGCCGCAUUGGGCAAGUCAAAAUGCUGUGUUAUCACAGUAUGUUGGUUGACUCAAGUCAUUUUGUUGAUUUCAGACUUUUUACUGCUAACCCCUAGCCAUUUGAUAAGGCUAUGUGCACAAAAAGCUAUGAAAGCUUUAAUACGUUUAUAUUUAUAUUUUUUUUUUAAUAUAAAUGAGUAUGUAAUGUACAAAUGUUUGUUUAUUUGAUUUUAAAUAUUUAUUUAGUGCUACUUGAAUUUGAUUGUUAAAUAAGUCACAUUUACUAAAAGCACAAACUUGCUUUCAUACAUAUAAUAUAUAAAACUUAAUAAAACAUAUUGAAUUAUCUAAAAACCGCGCACGUUUUGAGUGUUGUGAAACAUGAGUGAUUUGAAGAUAAUUUGUAUUAUUUAAUUCAGAGCCAACAAAAUAAAGAAAAAUUAAAAUAUAGAACGAAUAGCAAAGCUAAAAAGUUAAUAUGGAAUAAACUCACGGAAUAAGCUACCUAUAUGAGCUUUCUGUCCUAUGAGUGGAGAUCAUUAUCAGUGUCUAUAGUGUUUCUUAGUUUUUUUUUUUAACGAGGGUACCUUUCGAUGAUUAGUUUUUACGGGACGAUUUUUAAGGUCAAAAAUAAAAUCGUGAAAGCGAUGUUAUCAAUAAACAAGUAUAUACAAAUUUUAACUAAUAUUUUUCUUUUGUGAAUAUUUAACGAACAAAUUCAAUGACAUGAAACUUAACUUUUGUAUGGCUAACUGUGCUAAAUAGAACUAUAUCUGAACGUCCUUUUCGCUCUUUUGAUGAGGUAAUGUAAGGUACUAUACUCUAAAAUAUUUAUUUUGAAAUAUGUAAAUUAUAAUACAGUGGAACUUUCCAUAACUCGAACUUAUAUAACUCGAAUAUCUCCAUAACUCGAACUUUUAUAUUGGCAAUAGCGUUUAGUAAUCAAAUUUCAUAAAAAUUCCCUUCAAUAACUCAAACUUCUCCAUAACUCGCACUCUUGAAUUGGCAGUAGAAGUCAAAUUUCGUACACAUCUCCUCCCAUAAAUCGUACUCUUCAACCAGGACAUAAUACAAAAUUUAAAAUUUGACUAUCAAGGGAAAAUUUUAAAGGAGUCACUAUAUUCGUAUGGAG